UCGGGGGCUGGCUGAUGCUGGAUAGCGCCUUGCUUAUUACUAGAUUGGGCUCGACAUACAAUGGGUUGAGCUUGGCUGGCAGCGAGCGGGGCUUGGAGCGCCUGCCUGUGGGCUGCUUUUGCUGGCUGGGCUGGCUCUGCUAAGCUCCCGUGGGCCUGGACCUACGGUGUAGCUUGGUUGGCUGUUGUAGUGGGUUGGGCCUACUGUGGCAGUUGCCAAGCCUUGGACUUCCUGCUCAUAGGCCAAUGAGUGGACCUGGGCCUCCUGCCCAGGAUUUUAAAAGUCUGUGCGCUGCAAGGGCAGUGACGUAUGAACUUGGGUUAUG
rnacentral:lncRNA from 1 species